rnacentral:rRNA from 1 species
AUUGAACGCUGGCGGCAUGGCUAAUGCAUGCAAGUCGAACGAAAGCCCUUCGGGGCGAAAGUGGCGAAAGGGCGAGUAAUACGAUCGAACGUACCCCAAGGUGGAGGAUAGUGUCGGGAAACUGACGGUAAUACUCCAUGUGCUCUUCGGAGGAAAGCUUUGGCGCCUCGGGAGCGGCGAUCGUCCUAUCAGGUAGUUGGUGAGGUAAUGGCUCACCAAGCCGAAGACGGGUAGCGGGUGUGAGAGCAUGACCCGCCGCAUCGGGACUGAGACACUGCCCGGACUCCUACGGGAGGCUGCAGCGACGAAUCUUCCGCAAUGGGCGCAAGCCUGACGGAGCAAUGCCGCGUGUGGGACGAAGG